rnacentral:rRNA from 1 species
GAUGAACGCUGGCGGCGUGCCUCAAACAUGCAAGUCGAGCGGGGCUAUGUUGGACCGUAAGGGAAGAUAUAGCCUAGCGGCGAACGGGUGAGUAACACGUGGGUAACCUACCUGGAAGACAGGGAUAACGAUUCGAAAGGGUCGCUAAUACCUGAUAAUAUCUAACAGUCGGAUGGCAGUUAGAAGAAAGGGGAAACCCGCUUUCAGAUGGGCCCGCGUCCCAUCAGCUAGUUGGUAAGGUAAAGGCUUACCAAGGCGACGACGGGUAGCCGGUCUGAGAGGAUGUACGGCCACACUGGGACUGAGAUACGGCCCAGACUCCUACGGGAGGCAGCAGUUGGGAAUCUUAGGCAAGUGGGACGAAAGCCUGACCUAGCGACGCCGCGUGAGGGAAGAAGGCCUUCGGGUCGUAAACCUCUGUCAUGGGGGACGAAGGAAGUGACGGUACCCCAAGAGGAAGCCCCUGCUAACUACGUG